CGCAAUGCCGCGUGUGUGAAGAAGGCCUUCGGGUUGUAAAGCACUUUUGUCGGGGAAGAAGGUGCUCUAGUUAAUACCUUUGGCUCCUGGCCGUUCCCGAAAAAAAAAGCCCCGGUUAAUUCGGGGCCACCGCCCGGGGAAUUACGAAGGUGGCAGGGGUUAUCCGAAUUUAUGGGGGGAAAAGGGGGCGCAGGGGGUUGCUUAAAUCGAAUGUGAAUCCCCGGGCUUCACCUGGGGAUUGGCUUUGGAAAUGGGGGGAUAUGAGUGGGGAAAAGGGGGGUGAAUUUCCCGUGGAACAGUGAAAUUGCUAAAAAUAUGGAAGAAAACCCGUGGGCAAAGGGGACCCCUGGGCCUGUACUGGCACUCGAGGGCCAAAACGUGGGGAGAAAAAACGAUUAAAUACCCUGGGAAUCCCCGCCCUAAACAAUAUGUACUAUAAGGUUGGGGGCCUUUGGCCCUUUAGCGGUGAAAAUAACGCAAUAUGAACUCCGCCUGGGGAGUACGGCCGCAAUACUAAAACUCAAAUGAAUUGACGGGCCCCCGCACAAGCGGAGGAUCAUGUGUUUUAUUUCGAAGCAACGCAAAAAAUCUUACCCGGUCUUGACAUACUAAGACAUCCCAAGAGAUAGAGUUGCUCCUUCGGAAACUGAGAUACAGGUGGUGCAUGGGUGUCGUCAGCUCGUGUCGUGAGAUGUUGGGUUAACUCCCGCAACGAGCGCAACCCUUGCCCUUAUUUGCCAGCAUUAACAAGGGAAAUCUAAGGGGACGGACGGAUCAAAUCGGGAGAAGAUGCGGAGAAAUCUAAUUCUCCUGUCCCUUUA
rnacentral:rRNA from 1 species